CGCAGGAUAGAGCAGUUGGCAGCUCGUCGGGCUCAUAACCCGGAGGUCGCAGGUUCGAGUCCUGCUCCUGCUA
rnacentral:tRNA from 1 species